rnacentral:rRNA from 1 species
AUUGAACGCUGGCGGCAGGCCUAACACAUGCAAGUCGAACGGUAACAGGAAGAAGCUUGCUUCUUUGCUGACGAGUGGCGGACGGGUGAGUAAUGUCUGGGAAACUGCCUGAUGGAGGGGGAUAACUACUGGAAACGGUAGCUAAUACCGCAUAACGUCGCAAGACCAAAGAGGGGGACCUUCGGGCCUCUUGCCAUCGGAUGUGCCCAGAUGGGAUUAGCUAUUAGGUGGGGUAACGGCUCACCUAGGCGACGAUCCCUAGCUGGUCUGAGAGGAUGACCAGCCACACUGGAACUGAGACACGGUCCAGACUCCUACGGGAGGCAGCAGUGGGGAAUAUUGCACAAUGGGCGCAAGCCUGAUGCAGCCAUGCCGCGUGUAUGAAGAAGGCCUUCGGGUUGUAAAGUACUUUCAGCGGGGAGGAAGGGAGUAAAGUUAAUACCUUUGCUCAUUGACGUUACCCGCAGAAGAAGCACCGGCUAACUCCGUG